rnacentral:lncRNA from 1 species
UGAAAAUUCAGUCCCUGCUUUGCUCAUAUUAAGUCAGAUAUGCCUCUUGGAUACUAAGAGGAUGUGUCAAGUAGACAGCUGGCUUAGAGGGUAGGUUUGGGCUGGGGAGUAUUUUUAGUGCUGAGAGCUUUACACAGUCUUCUUGUGGGAUGCUUUCCAGAGAGUAGCCAGGAGAUCAUUUCAAAACAUAGUUCUGAUCACAUAAACACCUUGCUCCAAACUCUGCCAAGUACAAAGUGCUUUCCCACAGCGCUUAGAAGUGCUAACUCCUCUCAUGGAUCAAUCCAUGAUCAAAGACCAAUCCCAGCUGGGCACAAUGGCUCACACCUGUAAUCCUAGCAGUUUGGGAGGCCGAGGCAGGCAGAUCACCUGAGGUCAGGAGUUUGAGACCAGCCUGGCCAAUAUAGUGAAUCUCCGUCUCUACUAAAAAUACAAAAAUUAGCUGGGCAUGGUGGCACAGGCCUAUAAUCCCAGCUAACCGGAAGGCUGAGGCAGGAGAAUCGCUGGAACCCGGGAGGCGAAGGCUGCACUGAGCCGAGAUCGCGCCAGUGCACUCCAGCCUGGGUGACAGAGGGAGACUCCCUCUCAAAACAAACAAACAAACAAAAAAAAACAAUCCAAGCUUCUGCUGCCUGCUACUUCUUUACAUGCCAUCGGCCUCUGGAUAUGAGAGAGAAAACUGAAGUUCAAAGGACUCACCCAAUUCAGCUAAGAAAUGUGACAUCGAAAUCAAAGUGUGCAAUGAGGUUAUUCAUUCAGGUUCUGUUCUUUACACGGUCUGGGCCUAACCUUCAUGAUCAAAUGAAGUGAAAUAAGGUGCAGAACCCAGCACAGUGGUUGACAUCAAACAAGCCCAUCAAGAAUAAUUGUCGGCCGGGCGUGGUGGCUCACACCUGUAAUCCCAGCGCUUCGGGAGGCCGAGGCGGGUGAAUCACCAGGUCAGGAAAUCAAGACCAUCCUGGCUAACACGGUGAAACUCCGUCUCUACUAAAAAUGCAAAACAUUAGCCGGGCGUGGCAGUGGGUGCCUGUAGUCCCAGCUACUUGGGAGGCUGAGGCAGGAGAAUGGCGUGAACCCGGGAGGUGGAGCUUGCAGUGAGCUUAGAUUGAGGCACUGCACUCCAGCCUGGUCGACAGGGCGAGACUCCGUCUCAAAAAAAAAAAAAAAAA